CUAUAAGCUGAAUAACUAUUUCAGAAGAGGAGUUUGAAUUAUAAAUACAAUGUUGGUAGUUGUUAGAAUGUAGGUUAUAUUUAAAGGCAUCGUCAUAGGAGCCUUAGGGUGUUGCUUCACCAACCAGAAACUUCUGUGACAGGUGGUGCCUCUGCUGUGUGUCACUGCCUGCAGCUCAGCAAGCCAGCCAGGAACAUGUUAUA
rnacentral:lncRNA from 1 species